GCCUACGGGGCGCAGCAGUGGGGAAUAUUGCACAAUGGGGGAAACCCUGAUGCAGCAACGCCGCGUGGGUGAAGGAGCGUUUCGGCGCGUAAAGCCCUGUCAGCGGGGAAGAAGAAAGACGGUACCCGACCAAGAAGCCCCGGCUAACUACGUGCCAGCAGCCGCGGUAAUACGUAGGGGGCGAGCGUUAUCCGGAAUUACUGGGUGUAAAGGGAGAGUAGGCGGCAAGGUAAGCGAUAUGUGAAAGCCUUAAGCUUAACUUAAGGAUGGCAUAACGAACUAUCUAGCUAGAGUACAGGAGAGGA
rnacentral:rRNA from 1 species